UUUUGCAUUUCCACAAGUAGAAUAAAACUUUUAUAAAAUGUGAAACUGCUAUUGAUUGAAACGUGAUUCUUCUCUUCUACCAUCUCCCAGUCCCAUCAGAGGUUCUUUAGCUCACUGAACAUAUAAUCCACAUUAUCUAACCCAGGUUAGUUCAUCAGUACAUUCCUUUCUGUACUCAUCAUGUAAAUGUACUUUGUAGAUAAUCAUUAUAUAGUUUAAUCUCUUAUUCCGUGACGGGACAUCAACCUGUCCUCCAGGUUCCUCUGAGACGUUCUGCAUCAGCUGCUUUUAUAUAAUUAGCUGGACAUGAAUGUAAACCCAAGCAGAAGCCUUUAUAUGACCCAGCAGGAAAUAAAAGUACGAGAUUAAGACCUC